rnacentral:lncRNA from 12 species
GUACUGCGGAGUUACGGCGUGGCUGGAGGAACGCUCCCAUUUCCUGUGCUUGGGUGCACACGGGACGGGAGAGGUGCAAUAAAAACCCGAGGGCUGCAGAGCGGGGAAAGAGCGGGGACGUGGCAAAGGGUCCACGAAGCCCCUCUCCGCUGUAGCUCUCAUUGGGUCUUACUUGAUUUAACCCAAACAGUUUUGUCAACAACUUGCCAAAUUUACAGCGGCAAAAAGCCGCUGCAGAAGGGGGAACACGAGCCGUCGAGCUCGCUCCGUCCCACUUUUGGCAGGCGGCGCACGGAGCAUGCGACAAGCAGGACUUGUCACCGAGCCGCCCGGCAGGAAAGCUGGGCCAGCCCCUCGGCGGGGCCAUGUGCGCCGCACAUUGUGUACACAUGUGUGCGAGGGGGAGCGCCGCGGGGCCGGCCCGGCACAGCCCCGGGGUCUGCACGGGUGUGUAUGGGUGCACGUGGGUGCGGAUGUGUGUACAUGUGUGUAGAUGUGUGUUUAUGGGUGUACAUGGGUGCAUAUGGGUGUGUAGAUGUGUGCACGGAUGGAAAUGGGUGUAGAUGUGUGCAUAUGGGUGUACAUGGGUUGAAGAUGUGUACAUGGUGUGCCCCCAUCCCGGCCCGGGACGAGCAGCCGGCGGUGCUGGAGGGGCCGUGCACCCCCGCACGCACCCCGCCGGCCGGGAUGGGCGCACGGGGCACUGCUUUGCUGGAAGAAUUUGCCCUCACGGGGCCUCACGCCGAGUUUGCGGCGAGAGUGGCCCGGUGAUGCGGGGCUCAGCGUGGCGGACGGGACAGGGACAGGGACAGGGACAGGGACAGGGAAGCGGGCGGAAGCGGAGCGCGGGCGCUCGCCGCCCGCCCCGGGGUUGCGCGGGUCCCGCUCGCUGCCGUACAGCUUUAAAAUCCAGCCCCGUCUGCAAUAGGCCGGCCCCGGGCGCAUGCGCUGCCGAGAAAGUUUUCCAGCUGCCGUUGGCUCUCUUAACUUUUUUUUCUUUUCCUUUUUUUUUUUUUCUUUCGCAGUUUUAAGCAGCGGGGUGAAGAGGAGCGAGGGAGAGACGCGGGGGGAGCGGGGCCGCCCCCCCCCCCCCCCCCCCCCCCCCCCCCCCCCCCCCCGCGGAGGAAGGGUCGGCUGCCGCGACGCCGCCUGCCCCGGCUUGCUCUCCCGGCUCUUCUCCCGCGUAUCCCGCUCCCCGGCGCUGGGCGCCUCUGGCACCGAUGGAUUGGGGGAGCCGCAGCUCCUGAAGCCCGGACUGCUCCCCUCCCCCUGCCCCUGCUCGCCUUGCAGGAUCAGUCGCCCCGUAAGACAGGCACACGCGUGCACAGCCCCCCUCCCCCUUCCCGCUUGUGCAGAAAGUUCUUUUUCUGUUUGGGGCUUUUUCUUCUCAGUGUAAAAUGGAGGGAGCCGGCCCCGGGAUGGCUCUGCAGCGGCGGACCCCCGGCUCUGCACCGCGCAGCCUUUAAGGAAGGGAAGGGGGGCGGGCAGGGGGGAGCCCUGCACCCGCUCGGCUCCAUCGUCCCCCUCUGGCGGGCCGGUCCGCGCCGAGCUGCGGAGGGGGCGGUCGGCGCCCCCCCCCCCCCCCCCCCCCCCCCCCCCCCCCCCCCCCCCCCCCCCCCCCCCCCCCCCCCCCCCCCCCCCCCCCCCCCCCCCCCCCCCCCCCC